GACGAACGCUGGCGGCGUGCUUAACACAUGCAAGUCGAACGGUGAUGCUCCAGCUUGCUGGAGUGGAUCAGUGGCGAACGGGUGAGUAACACGUGAGCAACCUGCCCCAGACUCUGGAAUAAGCGCUGGAAACGGCGUCUAAUACUGGAUACGAAACUGGCCCGCAUGGGCAUGGUUUGGAAAGUUUUUCGGUUUGGGAUGGGCUCGCGGCCUAUCAGCUUGUUGGUGAGGUAAUGGCUCACCAAGGCGACGACGGGUAGCCGGCCUGAGAGGGCGACCGGCCACACUGGGACUGAGACACGGCCCAGACUCCUACGGGAGGCAGCAGUGGGGAAUAUUGCACUAUGGGCGAAAGCCUGAUGCAGCGACGCCGCGUGAGGGAUGACGGCCUUCGGGUUGUAAACCUCUUUCAGCAGGGAAGAAGCGAAAGUGACGGUACCUGCAGAAGAAGCACCGGCUAACUACGUG
rnacentral:rRNA from 1 species